GAAGCUGGAGCCAACAUUUAUACCAGAAUGUGUGACAUUUAUAAUAUUCUGCAAGCUCUCAUAAAUGUUGUAUUUAUAAAAUAAUAGCACAAGCCCUAUGAUGUUUAUAGAUUUAAAUUAGUAAUAAUGGGUGCUAUAUAGUUAUUUUUCAGUUACCUCCUUGGCCUCCUGGGAUCUUUUCUGUGUCUCCCUGUGGUUCACUUCACUUUAGUCAUUUUGUAGCUUUGUGCUUUGCUGCCAACAGUGUGCUGUGCCCACCGGGAGACACCACCUUCGUCGCAUCUGGUUCUCCUUCCACACACCUGAAGCUUUUCUGAUUUUGUAACUUGGAGCUGCCGAUUCUUGCUUCCCAGGUCCUAUCGUGGCCUCAAAGGCAGAGUCACUUAGAUGCUAGAAAAAAUAUUUAGUAGGGAAAGUUAUGUAACUGUACACUUAGCUCUGCCCGUGGGGCACCCAGGUGACGACCUUGCCCUCUGGUGAGGAUGUAAUGCUAGUGUGCGUGGCACCCAGCCGAGCCCUUGGGCAUGCUGGUUGGUCCAGACCCUGGGGUGCAGCUCCAAGGAUUCACUGUUACUGUUUUUAAAUCCAUUUUCCUGGUCAUUUGUAAAGCUGCUCUGCAGAAACCGUUGACUCUGCCAUGUUUCCCCUCCCUUCCCUUUUCCCUAACCUGGUUUCACAACCUUUUUCUAAUUAUGCCCAACUAGAGUGAUUAGAAAUUCCCAUCCACUUAAUUCCAAUUCUCCAUGUGAAGGGAUAGGACUGUGCGGGGAACUCAAGUUUGUUCCACACUCACGACACAUCUCACUGACACUCUGAUCAUUACAGGACCCCCAUGACAUACUGUAGGGGAAGUUUAAGAAACCCACUUUAAGCACUAUUUAGAGAGUUUACCAAUAUACCUACAACCUAGUUUUAAAGUAC
rnacentral:lncRNA from 1 species